UACGAAGGGGGCGAGCGUUGUUCGGAUUUACUGGGCGUAAAGGGCGCGCAGGCGGCGCAUUUUGUCAGGCGUGAAAGCCCCGGGCUCAACCUGGGAAUGGCGAUGGAUACUGGCUCGCUAGAGUGCGGUAGAGGAGAGUGGAAUUCCCGGUGUAGCAGUGAAAUGCGUAGAGAUCGGGAGGAACAUCAGUUGCGAAGGCGGCUCUCUGGACCAGCACUGACACUGAGGCACGAAAGCGUGGGGAGCAAACAGG
rnacentral:rRNA from 1 species